rnacentral:rRNA from 1 species
UAAACACAGAUAGUAUAAACACAAAACUAUCCGCCAGAGAACUACAAGCGAAAAGCUCAAAACUCCAAGGACUUGGCGGUGCUUCAAAUCAACCUAGAGGAGCCUGUCCUAUAAUCGAUACCCCACGUUUUACCUUACCACUUCUAGUCCACCAGCCUAUAUACCGCCGUCGUCAGCCUACCUUAUGAAAGAAAUAAAGUAAGCAAAAAAGUUAAUAACUAACACGUCAGGUCAAGGUGUAGCACACGAAGUGGCAGAGAUGGGCUACAUUUUUUCCAAAAGCAAAAAUACAAAUAGUAAGCUGAAACACAUACCUGAAGGCGGAUUUAGUAGUAAGACAAGAAAGUAUGCUAGUCUUAAACCUGCUCUGAAGCGCGCACACACCGUCCGU